UGACACAGGCUACCAAACCGUCGUUUUCCCCACACCGUCAUUUGACACAGUAGUGUGAUUCUUUAAUUUUGGUGCAAGAAUUGUCCACACGGUCUCAGAGAGUUACACAGCAUGACGAUACGACCAUGUGACCCUAAAUUUAAAUUGUAGACGGGUAUGUGGAGUAACAUACGACCAUGCUUGAGGUCACACGGCCUGGUCUCUUUUACACGGCCGUGUGACCUCUGUUUACACUUUGUUAUCAAAAUUUUGUAAAAG
rnacentral:lncRNA from 1 species